rnacentral:rRNA from 1 species
UAAAAAAUUUUGGCGGUAUUUUAAGCUUAUUAGAGGAAUUUGCUCUGUGAUGGACACAACGCCUUAAUCUUACUUAAUUUAGUAAUUUAAAUCAGUUUGUAUACCACUAUAUUAAUUAUAUUGAAUAGUUAUAUUUAAAAUUUUUUUUUAAAAAAAUAUAUUAAGUCAAGGUGCAUCUAAUAAUUAUGAAUGAAGUGAAUUACAUUAAUUUUAAUGUAAUUUUUUACAUGAAAAAAUUAAUUAGGAUUUAAUAGUAAAAUACUAAUAUUAUGAGUAUUUGAAUCAAGCUCUAAAAUAUGCACAUAUCGCCCGUCGCUCUCAGAAGUGAGAUAAGUCGUAACAAAGUAAAAAUACUGGAAAGUGUUUUUUAAAAUGAAAUCAUUUGAUGUUUCAUUUACAAUGAAAAUUUUGUUGUUUAACCAUUUUAA